GGGGCGGAGCGGCCGGCCGCAACUUGCGGUUCGAGCUAGCGCUUCCCCUACAUCCUGCCGCGAACCGUGCUACCAUUAAUUUGGUGGCGCCGGGGAUCGGCUCGUUUACUUUGAGAAAAAUAGAGUGUUCAAAGCAGGCCACACGCCUUGAAUAAGUUAGCAUGGAAUAAUAAUAAAGGACUUCGGUUCUAUUUUGUUGGUGUUCGGGACUGAAGUAAUGAUUGAUAGGGACAGUUGGGGCGGUCAGUAUUCCAAAGCGAGAGGUGAAAUUCUUAGACCUUCGGAAGACUAACAGCUGCGAAAGCGUUCCGCAAGGAUGUUCCCUUUGAUCAAGAACGAAAGUUGGGGGAUCGAAGACGAUCAGAUACCGUCGUAGUCUCAACUAUAAACUAUACCAGCUAGGGAUCGGUCAACGUUAAAUUAUCCGACUUGAUCGGCACCUUAUGAGAAAUCAAAGCAUCUGGGUUCCGGGGGGAGUAUGGUCGCAAGGCUGAAACUUAAAGGAAUUGACGGAAGGGCACCACCAGCCGUGGAGCCUGUGGCUUAAUUUGACUCAACACGGGAAAACUUACCAGGUCCAGACAUAGUAAGGAUUGACAGAUUGAUAGCUCUUUCUUGAUUCUGUGGGUGGUGGUGCAUGGCCGUUCUUAGUUGGUGGAGUGAUUUGUCUGGUUAAUUCCGUUAACGAACGAGACCCCAGCCUGCUAAAUAGCGCGGCUGAGCUUUGCUCGGUGCGAGCUUCUUAGAGGGACUAUGAUGCGCGAUAGCACAUGGAAGUUUGGGGCAAUAACAGGUCUGUGAUGCCCUUAGAUGUUCUGGGCCGCACACGGGCUACACUGGCGCCUGCAACGAGCAUAUCAGCUGGCCCGAGAGGGUCUUGGCUAAUCUUUUGAACCGGCGCCGUGCUUGGGAUU
rnacentral:rRNA from 1 species